GAUGAAGAACGCAGCGAAAUGCGAUAAGUAAUGUGAAUUGCAGAAUUCAGUGAAUCAUCGAAUCUUUGAACGCACAUUUCGCCCGCCAGUAUUCUGGCGGGCAUGCCUGUCCGAGCGUCAUUUCAACCCUCAAGCCCCCGGGCUUGGUGUUGGAGAUCGGCGAGCCCCCCGGGGCGCGCCGUCUCCCAAAUAUAGUGGCGGUCCCGCUGUAGCUUCCUCUGCGUAGUAGCACACCUCGCACUGGGAAACAGCGUGGCCACGCCGUAAAACCCCCCACUUCUGAAAGGUUGACCUCGGAUCAGGUAGGAAUACCCGCUGAACUUAAGCAUAUCAAUAAGCGGAGGA
rnacentral:misc_RNA from 1 species